AAGGCUUUAUGUUAAUAAAACAAUUAGCCUUCAAAGCUAAAAUUAAAAGGUAUCUUUUAAGCCUUA
rnacentral:tRNA from 1 species